rnacentral:rRNA from 1 species
UACAUAGGGUGCAAGCGUUGUCCGGAAUUAUUGGGCGUAAAGAGCUCGUAGGUCGUUUGCCGCGUCGAUUGUGAAAAUCUGAGGCUCAACCUCAGACCUGCAGUCGAUACGGGCAAACUAGAGUGUGGUAGGGGAGACUGGAAUUCCUGGUGUAGCGGUGGAAUGCGCAGAUAUCAGGAGGAACACCAAUGGCGAAGGCAGGUCUCUGGGCCAUAACUGACACUGAGGAGCGAAAGCGCGGGGAGCGAACAGGAUUAGAUACCCUGGUAGUCCGCGCCGUAAACGAUGGGCACUAGCUGUGAGAGCCUUCCACGGUUCUCGCGACGCAGCAAACGCAUUAAGUGCCCCGCCUGGGGAGUACGAUCGCAAGAUUAAAACUCAAAGGAAUUGACGGGGCCCCGCACAAGCAGCGGAGCAUGCGGCUUAAUUCGACGCAACGCGAAGAACCUUACCAAGGCUUGACAUAUAGCGAAAAGUGGCAGAGAUGUCAUGUCCGCAAGGGCGCUAUACAGGUGGUGCAUGGUUGUCGUCAGCUCGUGUCGUGAGAUGUUGGGUUAAGUCCCGCAACGAGCGCAACCCUCGUUCUGUGUUACCAGCAUUCAGUUGGGGACUCACAGGAGACUGCCGGGGUCAACUCGGAGGAAGGUGGGGAUGACGUCAAAUCAUCAUGCCCCUUAUGUCUUGGGCUGCACGCAUGCUACAAUGGCCGGUACAAAGUGCUGCGAAAUCGUAAGAUUUAGCGAAUCACAUAAAGCCGGUCUCGGUUCGGAUUGAGGUCUGCAACUCGACCUCAUGAAGUCGGAGUUGCUAGUAAUCGUAGAUCAGCAACGCUACGGUGAAUACGUUCCCGGGGCU